rnacentral:rRNA from 1 species
AGUGAACGCUGGCGGCGUGCUUAACACAUGCAAGUCGAACGAGAACGGAUUAUAGCUUGCUAUAAUUGUCAGCUAAGUGGCGCACGGGUGAGUAAUGUAUAGGUAAUAUGCCUCUUACUAAGGGAUAACAAUUGGAAACGUUGGCUAAUACCUUAUACUCCUUAUUAACAUAAGUUAAUAAGGGAAAGAUUUAUUGGUAAGAGAUUAGCCUGUAUUGUAUCAGUUAGUUGGUGGGGUAAUGGCUUACCAAGACUAUGACACAUAACUGGUUUGAGAGGAUGAUCAGUCACGUUGGCACUGAGACACGGUCCAGACUCCUACGGGAGGCAGCAGUGGGGAAUAUUGCACAAUGGACGAAAGUCUCAUGCAGCAACGCCGCGUGGAGGAUGACACAUUUCGGUGCGUAAACUCCUUUUAUAUGAGAAGAUAAUGACGGUAUUAUAUGAAUAAGCACCGGCUAACUCCGUGCCAGCCGCCGCGGUAAGAC